AGGAGGUACACCUGAUGUGGAUGCAGAUCGACCUAAUCUGCAACUUGCUUUCGGCUCUGCGAAGGAAGAGAGAAGAAAAUACAACAGUGAACAGGAGAGCUGAGGGAGAUGGUAGCCUGAAGACUGAUUAUGCUGAGGGAAAGCAUGAAAUGCCAGAAGAUGAAGGAAGGAAUGUAUAAAAGUGGUGAGGAUACCGUUGCACUUGGGGGUUUGGAAAGACUCAAAAAAUACUUGAAAAUCUAAUGGUAAUGGCAGUGAAUUGAAAGACAUAAAGUAGGGAGAAAGGAGAGAAAUCGCAACAUCAACAGUGGUGAAUUCUGAAAUCAGUUCCUCAGAAUCAAGGUUAUUACAAAAGUGGAGGUUGUCUUGAGAGAAAGCUCCAUUCCAGAGAGAAAUUACACAGUUACUUCAUUUUCCUUCUGCUAUUGUACAUGGACCCAUUUCUCAGAAGGCUCUCAGGGCAGGUUUCUGCUGUUAACAUACCAACAUGAAGGUGACCAUACAGCUUGGGAGUCCUGGAUGAAAGUUUUUGUAUCUGACUCAUGCUGACACCAGUGUGCUACUCCACUAUUCAACACCCCAUAUCUAGUACAGAAGAAACUGCUUUUGCCUGAGAAAUGGGUUUGCCUGUUUCUGCUCAAGAAAAAUAUUUGUCCCCACAUUUCCUGUUAGUGGCCAAGGGAACAUGUCUCAACCCAUGACUUCUGGCUCAGAUGGGUGUGUUCGUUCUGCACAUGUUUUAUAAGCCUCCCAACCCUGCCCGUCUUUUAUAUUUAGUGGGCAAACACUGAGAACAAGGACAUUUGCACUCAGCAGACAUACUUUGUAUAAUAAUAGGCUCUCAAUUUUAGCACUGAUAGUACUGCCUUACCAUGAAUAACAAGUAAAUAUAAUAAUACCAUGCUGCCUUGCAGUGGGUUUAAAGAAUUCUUCCUAUGCAAUCUUAUGUUUCCAAGACGCGAGGAACCACCUAUGCCUUGUGCAAUCCUGAUUCAGUAAGUUUGCUUUUGAAACACAUUUUCUCACAUAACUUCUGCUUGUGUCUCCAAAAUGUGUUUUCGCAUGCCCCAUUUACAGUGCGGCUUAGUCUGUGUUUGUUUUAUACUAAUAUCUGUGUUUCCUACAUGGCUCUCUAGUAUCAUCACUAGCCACUGUUUGGGCCAUUGUUUGAAAGGCAUAAGAUGUCCAUCACUAACACGUACUUAAGGUCAUUUGGCACAUCUUGGAAACUUGAGGGCGGCUGGCAUGUUACGCCACCUACCAGCAACAUGCUGAAAUGUAUUCUUCCAAUCUCACUGAUCCUUUUUCAUUGUCACCUUAAAUGUUUAUUUUCCCAGGAUGUUUCAGAAUUCAAUAGGAUAUGGAGAAGAGCUAUCCACUUAAGCUGGAGCGCUUAGACCAAUGAAAGCAUCUGUAUGGGUGAAUAUUCAUCAACUAAAUAUUAAUAGGUUGGUUAACAUCCAGCUGGCUGAGCAGCAAAAAUAUUUAUGCUGUUUGACGAAUGCAUUAUUCAAUUCACUCAUUCCUAGUCAGUCUGUAAACACACCAUGAGUCAACAUGGCAAUAAGCAGGCAGAAAGGAACAGACUGAUUUCCCCCAUAACCUUGCAUUUUGUACAUAAUCUGUUGCUUUGGUUGUUUUUUUUUAUUUUGGACUUGGGCAGUUAUUCUGAAGUUUUGAUUAGACUUGUUUUUGUUCUGAUUUUACACUGUCUGUGUGCCAGAUCUCUGAAUGUUUCUUUCAGUAAUACACAUAUAAUAUUGGACCUCAUUCUGUUCCUUCCUGGAAUUUUGCUGGGGUUGUAGAGAGGAUAAGAUUUUGGAGUAUUUUUGGUUGGUUUUCCCUACUGCUAAAUAGAGACUCUGUUAUUGCUGUGACAAGCAAAAUAUGACACCAAGCAUGUAAAAUACUCCAAGACAAUGUCUGCCAUUGCUUCUGAAUUGUUUUCUUUGCUUUGGGAAAGCAGAGAGAAGUGUCAUAAUUUCCAAUUUGGAUAUAUGUGCAACAACAAAAGAUUACCAUUUCCUUGCCAAAGAGACUCCUUUCAUCAGGCAUCAAAGAAAUAGAACCUAUCACACACAGAAGAAGUAUUAGUUCCUUUAUCUCCCUGUAAUCUAUGUUACAGUAUUAAGCAAACUAUUGUGAUUGCCAUGGUGAUCCUCACCAAAAGAGGCUCCAGAGACAGCUCCAUGUAGCUUUUAUCAAGUUUAGGUGGGUUAUGCAGUGAAAGGUAGAUAGUUUUUUUUUUGUUGUUGUUGUUUUGGUUUGUUUUUUUAAUAGCCAUUCCAUUAAUCUCAGUGGGAAUAUUUUUAGACCAAAUAAAUAUUCUACUGUAAUUAAUGCUUUCAAUAACACCUUCAUGCUGCAUACUACUGUGGGGAAAAAAAUAUCCAUAAAUAGUCUGCUGCAUAAGUGAUGCCCAGCUUACUGCUGCGCAUUCUGCAGCAUGUUAUUUUUCAGCUGUGGACAUCUUAUUCACUGUAAUGAGGCUAGCUGGAUUUUGAUCACUUCAAAAUAAUAAUGAUCACUGCAAAUAAUAACUUCUGCUUUGGGCUAUCUAAAAAGUAGUAAGAGGUCUUUUGUGCCCACCAUCCAGUCAUUUUCAGUAUCUUUACCUCUGGGUUUUCAUGCUUUAAAGGGUCAUUUCAGCUUGUCUGCAAGGCCUGAAUAUUGACAUCAGUUCUGGUUCUGGAAUGAAAAUGGGUUUUCCUGUUUACCACUGAGAAUCUUGAAGGAGGAACAACAACUACCAGCAAAUCUCAGGGAUGGUUUCUAGUGUUUGAUUCAUGUAUAUCUCAUGUGGAUGAUAUUGAGACAGCUCAAUCUUAACAUCCGAAAUGAGUAGUUUUGAGACUUCUUGCUAAGUCCCAUUUGUGACAGUAAUACAUGGCAUGGAGCUGAGCUUUAUCAGCCAGCCUCACAAGCACAUAGGAGAAGCUCUGUAGAUCUGUCUUCUGAGGAGGACCCAUCAGCUCAGAGCCCAUGACAAUGCAAGCUAAAACACAUCCAGCUGCGUACUGACAGCACAGCAACCUGUCACUUCACUGUGCAGGUGGAUCCUCUGGUUCUAAAUCAAACCUGCAUAAAGAGAGUUUCAGAGACUUCACUCCAAACACAGGCCCUGCCUGCAUCCACAGCUAGGGGCCUUUCAACACUGUUAUAAGCCACUCAAAGGCUGACAAGGGCUAACAGCCUGCUGCCAAGCGAGGGAACUCAUAGGCAUAUGUCUAAGUGCUUUAUUGGACUGGGGCCAGAGGAUGCAAUGCACUUGAGUAGCCAUUAGAGAUGCCUGUUGCAAUCAAUGGACAGCAUGAAGUUUAAAUUCAGCAGAUUGUUCAGGGUAGCUAGAAAGCUGCAUAACAUAUUUAGUUCUGUUCUGCACAAAUAUGUUCAUAAGAUUCAGUGGCUAUAUCUAACUGAUGAAACUCUGGGGGUAUUCUUUUGCACAGCUUCAAAUGACUCAUCCCUCACCAAGUGCCCAAAACACCUACAGGAGCCAGGAGCAGAUGCAGUGUAAUGUUAGUAGGGGAUAGCAGUUAUAUCACCCACAGCAGCCACAACACUCCCAACAAUGCUAGUGCUUGAGGCCACAGCCACCUCAGUAUGAAGUAAACUCACACAUGUGGUCACCUGCAAUGGGACCAGCUAUACUGGACUCCCAGGUUCAAGCUGAGUCCUGACAACGCCAGCAGGAUUACACAAGGACAUAAGCAAGCAAACAGCCCCGAAGGAAAGCACUAGGGAUGAGAAUUUUAGGAGAGACUAUCAAACACAGAAAUACAGGCUUUCCAAUCACAAACAGGAUUGCCUUAAAAUUGUGUACUUAAUUAUGUAUUUAAGAACUGACAUAAAUGACCCUGUCUUCUAAAAGAGCAAGUGCUGUCAGCGUAACUAAGGAUGUACAGGCUUGGCUGGUUGUGUUUGGGGCAGGUUGUUGGAUUUUCCUCAAUAAAGCACAGUGCUGAAAUGCA